AUAAUUCUACGCCGGGGAAUAUUUUAUAAUUCUAUUAAUUUAUUUCUAUUUUAUUAUGUAUUUAUUUAAUUUUUUUUUAUUUUGUUUAUAAACCAUUAUCGAUAACUUUUUUUGAAAGACUUAUUAUAUCUUAAAACAACAUAAACGUUUAUAAGAAAGUUUCUUGGGUAAAUAAUUGAUUGUUCAAACAUAAUCUUGUCAUUUUAAAGGGUUGUUCU
rnacentral:lncRNA from 1 species